rfam:Rachicladosporium sp. CCFEE 5018 unplaced genomic scaffold Supercontig_19, whole genome shotgun sequence.
CACGGCGCGGUUGGGUUAACUAGCAUUCACCUUGCCUUUUACCAGAUGAAUCCUUGGCCUACCGUAAUAAGCCGACUUCUCAAUCUUUGGCACCAAGAUCUCGCG